UUACGGUCAUAUCACGUUGAAACACCAGUUCUCGCAUGAUCACUGAAGUUAAGGAACGUUGAGCUUUGUCAGUACCUAGAUGAGUGACCGAUUGGGAAUACCAAGUGCUGUAAG